UCUCUUGACCUUGUGAUCCGCCCGCCUCGGCCUCCCAAAGUGCUGGGAUUACAGGCGUGAGCCACCGCUCCCGGCAGCACUUAUGGGUUUUAAAUAUGAGAGUGACAACAUCAGGUUAUUGGGCAGCAGGAGGUGGGCCAGUUUUGAAAGGCAGGUGAAUGAGGCAGUGAGAUAAGUUGGGAGGGGCUGCAAUAGUUCAGAAACAAGGUAGUGUGCAAGUAAAUCACAGGUGGCACCAGAGAUGAAGAGGAAGAGGCAGUGUGACAGCUCUGUUGCAUGACACAACAUGGGAAACGCAGGAUUGAGAAGAGCCAGAGGUGAUGAUGCCAUUAGCAGCGUGCAUUUAGUACUUAUCACAACCUAUUUACAUUUUCUAUAUAAACAUUGAUCUCAUUAGACUGUGAUCUCCUAGAGGAACAAGUCCCAUGUCAUUCUCAUUGACAAAAUGAACAUGGCAGAUACUUGGUAAAUGUUUGCUAGUAAGUGAAUGGAAGUCAGGCGAGUUGGCUUGGUGAUGGCAGCUGGGGUGUUGAUGGAAAUACCGUGCUUCUUUUUGGACAUGAUGGAAUUUGGGGAUGUGGUCUAUUUGUUAGAUGCAGUUUCUAGGAAGAGAUUACCCAAAGAACUGAAGAACAAUGACAAACUUAUGUGUAUGUGAGGGCAAGAUAAAGAGUAGAGAGAUGGUAUAGUUGGGUAUGGAGAGAAUGCUGUAACUGAACUGCUCCCUUCAAGAUGUCAGGUAAGAUUGGAGAGAAAAUGCAGGAUAGCAUUUGUCACAGGUAGUUGGAAUGUGGAGGGAAGACUGGAAGGAUGAGAAGGACUGAGGUGGACCUGUGGGCUGUGUUAGCCGGUGAAAGUUGGAGGGAAAGGGAAAUGGGAGGCAGUAGAGCAUGGAGUUACAUAUGCAGGCACUGGAGUCAGGCUGUUGGAGUUCAAAGGCUAGCUCUUCUGUGGAUUUGUUAUGUGACUUUACACGCUCUCUCUUGCCUCAAGUUCCUCUUCUGCAAAAUGAGGUUAAUAAUAAUACCUGCAUAAACACAUGCACAGCACACAGAACAGAAGCUGGAAUGUGAUAAGCACUUCAUAAGCAUUAAUUCUUCUUACUGAAACUCACUAGGGUCACUUUGUGCAUAUUAUCCUAUUUAAUCCUUAGUAACUGUAUAGGUAGGUGUUAUUAUCUUCAUUCUGCAAAUGAGAAAACUGAAGUGCAAAGAAGUUUCAUAAUUUUCCUCAAUCCACACAGCCACUAUAUGAUGUGAUAAAGCUUACCUAAGCUAGAGUCUUACCUGAUCCAUCUGGUGCCCGGGCUAGUGCACUUUCUCCUAUAACACUCAGCCUAAGCUAGGUAGAUAUGGCAAGACCACUGGCUGAGGCAACUCAGAUGUGAUCAAUAGGUAGUAGGGAACUGUGGCUGACUUGGGGGCAGGGGAAGCAGCAUGCUGGAAAGAUUCAUCUGGUAUGUUUAUAGAAGAGAGCAGGCAGCAGGCAUGGGGGGCUGAUGAUUCAGACCAGAAAUGGCUGAGGAAAUGGUGAGGUCUGGCAAAUGUCAGAGGAGCUGUGAUAGAAGAAUGAGCAGAAUUUAUGACUGAUGCAAAUAAGGUAGAUAUGAUGGUACGUGACAGAAACUGACUAAGAAGUCUGUAUGCAGUGGGUGCAGCUUAGAGUUUCAACUUGAAAGUUUCAAACCUGGGACUCUAAGAAAAUAGUCUGAAUGGUAAUGAGAAAGUUGUCACUUUAGUAUCUGCUUCCCUUGAAGAAAAGCACCUUUAGAGGAACCAACUUGGAGAAUAGUGUCGCAUCAAAGUGGGACACUUCAUUAUUUUUAGUGGCAGCAUGGUUCUGAUGAGCACACCGUCGGUAACCUUUACUUCACUGUCAGUCCAGCUCUGUCAAUCCUCCUUUAUUAAGGAAGGAAGCUGAUGGAUCUUUCCUUUCUUUCUUUCUUUCUUUCUUCCCUGGAGUAGGAUGUUUUCUGUACACAGUUAGCAUGUGAACUUCUUUUUAAAAAGAAGUUUACAUUUUACUCUAAUUCUCAUCCAUAACGGAGUGUGGUGAUUUGCAUUUGGGCAGUUAGGAAAAUCAGUUCUGUUGACUUCCUGUUUUCUAUUUCUGGCCUCGAGCAGAACUUCCCAUUUGAGUGGGACCAAGAAGAGCAUACAAAGCUGAAAUGUUCUCCAGAAGUUGAUUUCCAAUGGGGAUAAAUUCUGGAUCAGCACAGAAAACUCUCUCCUUUGUCAGAUUGAAAACCUGUAGCAGGGGGACAGCCAAGAUGGCCGAAUAGGAACAGCUCUGGUCUACAGCUUCCAUCAAGCUACCAAUGACUUUCUUCACAGAAUUGGAAAAAACUACUUUAAAGUUCAUAUGGCACCAAAAAAGAUCCCGCAUUGCCAAGUCAAUCCUAAGCCAAAAGAACAAAGCUGGAGGCAUCACACUACCUGACUUCAAACUAUACUACAAGGCUACAGUAACCAAAACAGCAUGGUACUGCUACCAAAACAGAGAUAUAGAUCAAUGGAACAGAACAGAGCCCUCAGAAAUAAUGCCACAUAUCUACAACUAUCUGAUCUUUGACAAAUCUGAGAAAAACAAGCAAUGGGGAAAGGAUUCCCUAUUUAAUAAAUGGUCCUGGGAAAACUGGCUAGCCAUAUGUAGAAAGCUGAAACUGGAUCCCUUCCUUACACCUUAUACAAAAAUUAAUUCAAGAUGGAUUAAAGACUUAAACGUUAGACCUAAAACCAUAAAAACCCUAGAAGAAAACCUAGGCAUUACCAUUCAGGACAUAGGCAUGGGCAAGGACUUCAUGUCUAAAACACCAAAAGCAAUGGCAACCAAAGCCAAAAUUGACAAAUGGGAUCUAAUUAAACUAAAGAGCUUCUGCACAGCAAAAGAAACUACCAUCAGAGUGAACAAGCAACCUACAGGAUGGGAGAAAAUUUUCACAAUCUAUUCAUCUGACAAAGGGCUAAUAUCCAGAAUCUACAAUGAACUCGAACAAAUUUACAA
rnacentral:lncRNA from 1 species